UACGGAGGGAGCUAGCGUUAUUCGGAAUUACUGGGCGUAAAGCGCACGUAGGCGGCUUUGUAAGUAAGAGGUGAAAGCCCAGAGCUCAACUCUGGAAUUGCCUUUUAGACUGCAUCGGCUUGAAUCAUGGAGAGGUCAGUGGAAUUCCGAGUGUAGAGGUGAAAUUCGUAGAUAUUCGGAAGAACACCAGUGGCGAAGGCGGCUGACUGGACAUG
rnacentral:rRNA from 1 species